rnacentral:rRNA from 1 species
AUGCUAUUCAAAAGGCCUCCACAAAUGAAACCUUAUACGACUCUCGGCAAUGGAUAUCUAGGCUCUUGCAUCGAUGAAGAACGUAGCAAAAUGCGAUACUUGGUGUGAAUUGCAGAAUCCCGUGAAUCAUCGAGUUUUUGAACGCAAGUUGCGCCCGAUUAGAUUAGGCCGAGGGCACGUCUGCCUGGGCGUCACGCAUUAGAUCGCCUCCCAUCAUCCUCGUCCUGAGGGGGGUCGUGGGUAAAUAUUGGGGGCGGAAUUUGGCUUCCCUUUUUCCAUCGCGGCCAGCAAAAAUGUCGUUCCCUCGGCGCGCGCAUUGCGACAAGUGGUGGACGAUUUGAUCGGGCGUAAGUUG